rnacentral:rRNA from 1 species
AGAGUUUGAUCCUGGCUCAGGAUCAACGCUGGCGGCGUGCCUAAUACAUGUAAGUCGAACGAAGGGUUUUGUAGUAAUACGAGAUCCUUAGUGGCGAAUGGGUGAGUAACGCGUUGGUGACCUACCCCGAAGAGGGGGAUAACAGCUCGAAAGGGCUGCUAAUACCCCAUGUGGUCACGAGGGUUAGAGACCUUGUGACUAAAGAUGCAAAUCGCUUUGGGCGGGGCCUGCGUCCCAUCAGCUUGUUGGUAGGGUAAUGGCCUACCAAGGCUACGACGGGUAGGGGGCCUGAGAGGUGGCCCCCCACACUGGCACUGAAACACGGGCCAGACACCUACGGGUGGCAGCAGUAGGGAAUAUUAGACAAUGGGCGAAAGCCUGAUCUAGCAACGCCGCGUGCACGAUGAAGGCCUUCGGGUCGUAAAGUGCUUUUUGAGGAGAUGAGGAAGGACAGUAUCCUCAGAAUAAGGAUCGGCUAACUACGUGCCAGCAGCCGCGGUAACACGUAGGAUCCGAGCGUUAUCCGAAUUUACUGGGCGUAAAGCGCUUGCAGGCGGUUUGGUAAGUUGGAUGUGAAAGCUCCUGGCUCAACUAGGAGAGGUCGUUCAAAACUACCAGACUGGAGGGUGGUAGAGGGAGGUGGAAUUCCCGGUGUAGUAGUGAAAUGCGUAGAUAUCGGGAGGAACACCAGAGGCGAAGGCGGCCUCCUGGACCAUACCUGACGCUAAGAAGCGAAAGCUAGGGGAGCGAAUGGGAUUAGAAACCCCAGUAGUCCUAGCUGUAAACGAUGUGAACUGGGUGUCGGUGGGGUAAAAGCCAUCGGUGCCGAAGCUAACGCGAUAAGUUCACCGCCUGGGGACUACGGCCGCAAGGUUAAAACUCAAAGGAAUUGACGGGGGCCCGCACAAGCAGCGGAGCGUGUGGUUUAAUUCGUUGCUACGCGAAGAACCUUACCCGGGUUUGACAUAUAGGUAGUAGGGAGCAGAGAUGUGACCGACCCUUCGGGGAGCCUAUACAGGUGCUGCAUGGCUGUCGUCAGCUCGUGCCGUGAGGUGUCCGGUUAAGUCCGGUAACGAGCGCAACCCUCGCCGUAUGUUAUAAGUGUCAUACGGGACCGCUGGUAUCAAGCCGGAGGAAGGUGGGGAUGACGUCAAGUCAGCAUGGCCUUUAUAUCCGGGGCUACACACACGCUACAAUGGGCAGUACAAUGGGUCGCAAAACCGCGAGGUGGAGCCAAUCCUCAAAACUGUCCUCAGUUCAGAUUGCAGGCUGCAACUCGCCUGCAUGAAGUCGGAGUUGCUAGUAAACGCAGGACAGCUAUACUGCGUCGAAUACGUUCCCGGGCCUUGUACACACCGCCCGUCACGUCAUGGGAGCUGGCAACACCUGAAGCCGGUAUCCUAACCCGUAAGGGAGGGAGCUGUCGAAGGUGGGGCUGGUGACUGGGACGAAGUCGUAACAAGGUA